rnacentral:rRNA from 1 species
UACGUAGGGGGCAAGCGUUGUCCGGAUUUAUUGGGCGUAAAGAGCGUGUAGGCGGCUAGGUAGGUCCGUUGUGAAAACUCGAGGCUCAACCUCGAGACGCCGGUGGAAACCAUCUAGCUAGAGUCCGGAAGAGGAGAGUGGAAUUCCUGGUGUAGCGGUGAAAUGCGCAGAUAUCAGGAGGAACACCGAUGGCGAAGGCAGCUCGCUGGGACGGUACUGACGCUGAGACGCGAAAGCGUGGGGAGCGAACAGG